rnacentral:rRNA from 1 species
AUCUAUGGCCAUACCACCCUGAAUGUGCCCAAUUUUGUCUGAUUUCGGAAGCUAAGCAGGGUUGGGCCUGGUUAGCACUUGGACAGGAGAAAUAGAAG